rnacentral:rRNA from 1 species
CAAACUACUCUGGGCAACGGAUAUCUCGGCUCUCGCAUCGAUGAAGAACGUACCGAAAUGCGAUACUUGGUGUGAAUUGCAGAAUCCCGUGAAACAUCUAGUUUUUGAACGCAAUUUGCGCCCGAAGCCAUUAGGCCGAGGGCACGUCUGCCUGGGCGUCACAC